AGCUCCAACAGUGCAGUAGUAUCUAACUAAAUGCUUGUGUUCUUAGGUCCAACAGUGCAGUAGUAUCUAACUAAAUGCUUGUGUUUCUAGCUCCAACAGUGCAGUAGUAUCUAACUAAAUGCUUGUGUUCCUAGCUCCAACAGUGCAGUAGUAUCUAACUAAAUGCUUGUGUUCUUAGGUCCAACAGUGCAGUAGUAUCUAACUAAAUGCUUGUGUUUCUAGCUCCAACAGUGCAGUAGUAUCUAACUAAAUGCUUGUGUUCCUAGCUCCAACAGCGCAGUAGUAUCUAACUAAAUGCUUGUGUUCCUAGCUCCAACAGCGCUGUAGUAUCUAACAAUUCACAACAAUACACAAAUCUAAAAGUAAACGAAUGGAAUUAAAUAAUAAAUAAAUAUUAGGACAAGCAAUGUCGUAGUGGCAUUGACUAAAAUGCAGUGGAAUAGAAUACAGUAUAUACUGUUAGGUUCUAAUUUUUCAGAGUAAAUAACUCACCGACACUAGAGAAGCUUAACCAAGUUCAAUUCUUCCCAAAGGGUCAUUACAGCUGUAAUUCAGACCCCCAAAAAAUCUCACACAAGUACUGAUAUUUAACUCUUUCUCCUAGGCUGAGUCUCCUCCUCCACAACCGAACAGCCAAUGCAUCCCUGUUGCUCGACAGAACCUUAGUGAUAUCUGUUCUUCCUCACUUCGUCUAACCUGAACUCUACCCCAAACUCUACUCUACCCCACUAUAUACCUUCCUCCUAUAACCCUUCACUUCUGGUGUAGAGCCUCUAAACCUCAGCACUCCAUCAGUGACAUGAAUAACUAACAUUUCAUAUUCUCAGAACCCAACAAUACAUAUGAAAUGAGUAAAGCAGUACAAUAUGUAAACAGUAUUAAAGUGACUAGUUUUCCAUUAUUAAAUUGACCAGUGAUUCCAUGUCUAUAUAGGGCAACAGCCUCUAAGGUGCAGGGUUGAGUAACCGGGUGGAGGCCAGCUAGUGAUGGCUGACUAAAAGUCCACUCCGAAUAACUCUUCUCCGCCAGCGACAUCUUGGAGCAGCCUCUGGGAUAAGUUCAAUUGCCCUGGGGGGUACGAACAAAGGAUCCAAUUCGGGAAAGUUGUAUUCCUGGUCAUAAUGCUGGUGAGUUACAUUGGACCCAUAAUAAGUCAUAUUGGACCCAUAAUGGAUUACAACAGCUCUCCAAUGUAAUUUCUUGCUCUCGCUCUUACACAAUGUGCAGGCGCAAUCCCAUAACAGAAUGUACACAUUAUUUACUGAUCUCUUAAAUGGACAGUUUCAUCUAGUGGAUAGAAAUGAAUACAGCAAUGUGUUUUAACCACCUGGCUACAUCAGGCCAUGACCCCUACUGCAGCAAAGAGAGUGGACACAGGCGAGCAGGAUGAUGUUCACUACACAGGCGAGCAGGAUGAUGUUCACUACACAGGCGAGCAGGAUGAUGUUCACUACACAGGCGAGCAGGAUGAUGUUCACUACACAGGCGAGCAGGAUGAUGUUCACUACACAGGCGAGCAGGAUGAUGUUCACUACACAGGCAUCCACCACAGAAACCAGGAAGUGCCUGUCUGUUGCAAAAUAGACUGUUUUUGAGAAACAUUGAUGGCUGUUGUGUUGUUGAGAUGCCAGUAGAGAGCGCUGUAGUACAGUCCACUGGAAACAACAUGUUUUAGUGUAGCUGGUGAGACCUACAGAAGUGCAGAGAAACCACAGGCCUAUUGAUACGGUCCAAUUAUGUUCACAUGUUGUUCAUAAGCACUUCAGUGACGUGUUGGUUGUCAGGAAAAGGCAUCAUGGGUACAGGAAGCCAGCUGUGCAUCAACAUCUUAGACCUUCAGUACAUCUGGUUGGUGUCAACCACAGAACUCACACUCUUCUGUUUCACACAGCCAGUAUAAGGUCUCCUACCAAACUCCUCUCUUCACUCUACUGCAGGGUGGGAGAUGCAACAAUGGCCUUGAGAACAGCAGGAAGUGUGUUGGUGGUCUUUCUCUGGUCUGUGGCAGGUAUGGACUCAUUCAUUUCUUACCCUCUUUCUCUGUAUUGUUCAAUCUACAUAUAGUGCCUUCAGAAAGUCUUCACACCCCUUGACUUUUUUUCACAUUUUGUUAUCACAGCCUGAAUUUAAGAUUCAUUGAGAUUGAGAUUUUGUGUCCUACAUACAAUACCCCAUAAUUUCAAAGUGGAAUUAUGUUUUAAGAAAGUUUUACAAAUGAAUAAAAAAUGAAAAGCUGAAAUGUCUUGUGUCAACAAGUAUUCAUUUGUUAUGGAAAGCAUAAAUAUGUUCAGGGGUAAAAAUGUGCUUCAGUUGCAUGGACUCACUCUGUGUGCAAUAAUAGUGUUUAACGUGAUUUUUAGAAUGACUACCUCAUCUCUUUACCCCACACAUACAAUUCAUUAUCUGUAAGGUCCCUCAGUCGAACACGGAAUUUCAAACACACUGAAUUUCAAACACAGAUUCAACUACAAAGACCAGGGAGGCUUUCCAAUGCCUCGCAAAGAAGGGCGCCUAUUGGUAGGUGGAAAAAAAUACAAAUCAAUGGAAUAUCCCUUUGAGUGUGGUGAGGUUAUUAAUUAUACUUUGGAUGGUGUAUCAAUACACCCAGUCACUAUAACGAUAUAGGCGUCCUUCCUAACUCAAUUGCCGGAGAGGAAGGAAACCGCUCAGGGAUUUCAACAUGAGCUAAUGGUGAGUAUAAUGGUUGUGAUGGUUGUGAUUGGAGAAAACCGAGGAUGGAUCAACAACAUUGUAGUUCAUCUACAAUACUAACCUAAAUGACAGAGUGACAAGAAGGAAGCCUGAAAGGAAUAAAAAAUAUUCCAAAAUGUGCAUCUUGUUUGCAAUAAGGCACUAAAGUAAAACUGCGAAACAAAUGUGACAAAGAAAUGUACUUUGUUCUGAAUACAAAGUGUUAUGUUUGGGGCAAAUCCAACACAACACAUCACUGAAUACCACUUGUGGUGGAGUCUAGGGAUAUGGCUUUUGCUGUUCUGUUCAGUGACUUAUAUAUAUAUAUAUUGUUUUACUUUUACCACUUUUUCUCCGCAAUUGGUAGUUACAGUCUUGUCCCAUUGCUACAACUUCCAUACGGACUCCGGAGAGGCGAAGGUCGAGAGCCAUGCGUCCCCCCGAAACACACACAACCCUGCCCAGCCGCACUGCUGCUUUCUUCAGGGACUUUCCAAGACCACUAUGAGCCCGGUGACGUCGCGACCGGCUAAAAGGACCUGGGGAGAGGUGGCGCGAGUGAGUGCGUAGGCGGGUGUGUUGCAGAAGGAGAAGAACGAUAACGAGUAGAGAAGAGCCGAAUUCAGAAGGUAACAUACAUUGGAAUAAGAGGACGUACUAUAUCUGGACGAGGAUUGUUCCAUACCCCAGAAUGACUGUCAUUUUCGCCUUUGGUUUUAACGUAAAUUCAAUCGAUGGCGGUAGCUACCACUAAAGUUACCAGCCAGAGUGGUGUUAGCUCGUUACCCACCGGAGUGGGUAGCUACCGCCAUCGAUUGGCGUGAUGGACAUCACACUGCUGUUGUUUUUGUCGCACGGCUUUGUCUUGGCCAGGUCGCAGUUGUAAAUUAGAACUUGUUCUCAACUGACCUACCUGGUUAAAUAAAGGUCAAAUAAAAAUGAUAUUAAACAAUC